rnacentral:rRNA from 1 species
AGCGGCGGAUGGGUGAGUAACACGUGGGGAACCUGCCCCUAAGUCUGGGAUACCAUUUGGAAACAGGUGCUAAUACCGGAUAAUAAAGCAGAUCGCAUGAUCAGCUUUUGAAAGGCGGCGUAAGCUGUCGCUAAGGGAUGGCCCCGCGGUGCAUUAGCUAGUUGGUAAGGUAACGGCUUACCAAGGCGACGAUGCAUAGCCGAGUUGAGAGACUGAUCGGCCGCAUUGGGACUGAGACACGGCCCAAACUCCUACGGGAGGCAGCAGUAGGGAAUCUUCCACAAUGGACGCAAGUCUGAUGGAGCAACGCCGCGUGAGUGAAGAAGGUUUUCGGAUCGUAAAGCUCUGUUGUUGGUGAAGAAGGAUAGAGGUAGUAACUGGCCUUUAUUUGUCGGUAAUCAGCCAGAAAGUCACGGCUAACUACGUGCCAGCAGCCGCGGUAAUACGUAGGUGGCAAGCGUUGUCCGGAUUUAUUGGGCGUAAAGCGAGCGCAGGCGGAAAAAUAAGUCUAAUGUGAAAGCCCUCGGCUUAACCGAGGAACUGCAUCGGAAACUGUUUUUCUUGAGUGCAGAAGAGGAGAGUGGAACUCCAUGUGUAGCGGUGGAAUGCGUAGAUAUAUGGAAGAACACCAGUGGCGAAGGCGGCUCUCUGGUCUGCAACUGACGCUGAGGCUCGAAAGCAUGGGUAGCGAACAGGAUUAGAUACCCUGGUAGUCCAUGCCGUAAACGAUGAGUGCUAAGUGU